rnacentral:misc_RNA from 1 species
GAUGAAGAACGUAGCGAAAUGCGAUAAGUAAUGUGAAUUGCAGAAUUCAGUGAAUCAUCGAAUCUUUGAACGCACAUUGCGCCCUCUGGUAUUCCGGGGGGCAUGCCUGUUCGAGCGUCAUUACAACCCUCAAGCUUUGCUUGGUAUUGGACAUUGCCAGUUUCUGGCAGGUCUUAAAAUCAGUGGCGGUGCCAUUUGGCUUCAAGCGUAGUAAUUCUUCUCGCUUUGGAGAUCCAAGUGGUUACUUGCCAAUAACCCCCAAUUUUUUCAGGUUGACCUCGGAACAGGUAGGGAUACCCGCUGAACUUAAGCAUAUCAAUAAGCGGAGGA